GAUGAAGAACGCAGCGAAAUGCGAUAAUUAAUGUGAAUUGCAGAAUUCCGUGAAUCAUCGAGUCUUUGAACGCACAUUGCGCCUCAUGGCAUUCCGCGAGGCAUGCCCAUCUCAGCGUUAGAAAAUAUUCUCAAAUUUUAGUUUUGUGCUAAAAUUUGGAUCAUGUCAAAGAAGCUAUUACUAUUAUUGUGAUCGCUCUUUGGAAAUUGAUAGGUCUUUGAGUUGCUACUCAUAGAACGUGAUGAAUCUUUCUUCGUUCUAUUGUAAUUCACUCUGGUAGUCCUAAAACUUGUAUGCCUGUGGCAUAUCUUGUAAUUUGACCUGAGAUUGGGUAGGGAUACCCGCUGAACUUAAGCAUAUCAAUAAGCGGAGGA
rnacentral:misc_RNA from 1 species